UACGUAGGAUGCAAGCGUUGUCCGGAAUUAUUGGGCGUAAAGAGCGCGCAGGCGGUCUGACAAGUCAGAUGUGAAAGAGGCCGGCUUAACCGGCAAGGGUCAUUUGAAACUGUCAGACUAGAGUGCAGCAGAGGAUAGUGGAAUUCCCGGUGUAGUGGUGAAAUGCGUAGAUAUCGGGAGGAACACCAGUGGCGAAGGCGGCUUUCUGGUCUGUAACUGACGCUGAGGCGCGAAAGCGUGGGGAGCAAACAGG
rnacentral:rRNA from 1 species